rnacentral:rRNA from 1 species
AUUGAACGCUGGCGGAAUGCUUUACACAUGCAAGUCGAACGGCAGACGGACUUCGGUCUGGUGGCGAGUGGCGAACGGGUGAGUAAUGUAUCGGAACGUGCCCAGUCGUGGGGGAUAACGUAGUGAAAAUUACGCUAAUACCGCAUACGAUCUAUGGAUGAAAGCGGGGGAUCGCAAGACCUCGCGCGAUUGGAGCGGCCGAUAUCAGAUUAGGUAGUUGGUGGGGUAAAGGCCCACCAAGCCAACGAUCUGUAGCUGGUCUGAGAGGACGACCAGCCACACUGGAACUGAGACACGGUCCAGACUCCUACGGGAGGCAGCAGUGGGGAAUUUUGGACAAUGGGCGAAAGCCUGAUCCAGCCAUUCCGCGUGCAGGAUGAAGGCCCUCGGGUUGUAAACUGCUUUUGUACAGAACGAAAAGGUUUCUACUAAUACUAGGGGCUCAUGACGGUACUGUAAGAAUAAGCACCGGCUAACUACGUGCCAGCCGCCGCCGUAA